UAGUCCACGCCGUAAACGAUGAUAACUAGCUGUUCGGGCCCACAGGGCUUGAGUGGCGCAGCUAACGCAUUAAGUUAUCCGCCUGGGGAGUACGGUCGCAAGAUUAAAACUCAAAGGAAUUGACGGGGGCCUGCACAAGCGGUGGAGCAUGUGGUUUAAUUCGACGCAACGCGCAGAACCUUACCAGCUUUUGACAUCCUGGUCGCGGAUUUGGGAGACCAUUUCCUUCAGUUCGGCUGGACCAGUGACAGGUGCUGCAUGGCUGUCGUCAGCUCGUGUCGUGAGAUGUUGGGUUAAGUCCCGCAACGAGCGCAACCCUCAUCCUUAGUUGCCAGCAUUUAGUUGGCACUCUAAGGAACUGCCGGUGAUAAGCCGAGAAGUGGGAUGACGUCAAGUCCUCAUGGCCCUUACAAGCUGGGCUACACACGUGCUACAAUGGCGAUGACAGUGAGAUGCAAAUCUGCAAAGACUAGCUAAUCGU
rnacentral:rRNA from 1 species